AUCCCAAAUCCGGGUCUGAAUUCCCUGGGAGGAGCUUCCUUACAGGGGGAUCAGACCCCUUUUCCAUGGGGAAAUCCCAAUCCCAAAUCUGGAUCUGAACCCUGUGGGACGAGUAUCCUUCCAGGAGGAUCAGACCCUUUUUCCAUAGGGAAAGCUCAAUCCCGAUCCCAAAUUCAGGUCUGAAUUCCCUGGGAGGAGCAUCCUUACAGGGGGAUCAGACCCUUUUUCCAUGGGGAAAUCCCAAUCCCAAAUCUGGAUCUGAACCCACUGAAAGGAGCAUCCUUCCAGGAGGAUCAGACCCUUUUUCCAUAGGGAAAUCUCAAUCCCAAAUCCAAAUUUGGGUCUGAAUUCCCUGGGAGGAGCAUCCUUACAGGGGGAUCAGACCCUUUUUCCAUGGGGAAAUCCCAAUCCCAAAUCCAGGUCUGAAUUCCCUGGGAGGAGCUUCUUUCCAUGGGGGGAUCAGACCCUUUUUCCAUGGGGAAAUCCCAUGGGGAUCAGACCAUUUCUCCAUGGGGAAAUCCCAAUCCCAAAUCUGGAUCUGAACCCACUGAAAGAAGCUUCCCUACAGGGGGAUCAGACCCUUUUUCCAUGGGGAAAUCCCAUGGGGAUCAGACCCUUUUUCCAUAGGGAAAUCCUUCCAGGGGGAUCAGACCCUUUUUCCAUGGGGAAAUCCCAAUCCCGACCCCAAAUCCGGGUCUGAAUUCCCUGGGAGGAGCUGCCUUCCAGGGGGAUCAGAAUUAACAGGGGAGAAACCCUAAAAGAGAGAAACCCCCCUUGGGAUCAGAGGGAAAUCCCUGAGGAACAGAGGGAUCCCAAACNAGGACAGGACACACCCCAAUUCCUCCAUCUUACUCCUCUAAACCCCCCUGUACAUAAAUCCUAAACCCUGUGUCUCACCCUCUAAUUAGCUAAUCUCUUUGCCAUUCACCCCGGUGAAGUCCUCUUAUCUUCAUAAAGGUGUCGUCUCCCGUGUAGGGUCAAAGUCCUGCCACCAAACACUUCUGGCAACAUUCCAGGACUCCCGGGCCCCCCAAGGGUGGUCUCGGAGGCUCAGCAUCUCAGGACUCAGAUCCUGAGAUCCCACACCUUGGCACAGGGGCGGUGACACCGCGUCCUCGGCGCUGCCACUGAGACACACACACACAGAGAUCCAAAAAUGUGGGAAAAUGUGUGGGAAAUUUAUUCUCAAGGAUGGAGAAAACCAAGCCUGGGAG
rnacentral:lncRNA from 1 species